rnacentral:rRNA from 1 species
UGCAACUCGACCUCAUGAAGUUGGAAUUGCUAGUAAUCGCAGGUCAGCUAUACUGCGGUGAAUACGUUCUCAAGUCUUGUACUCACCGCCCGUCAACUCAAGGGAGUUGGGAAUACCCGAAGUCUGCGCUUGUCGCGGCCUAAGGUAAGCUCAAUGACAGGGAGUAAGUCGUAACAAGGCACGGGUAGCGGAAGCUGCUCGUGGAUUAUUUCAAUU